UAUUGGAGUGUGAUUUUCCCCUUUAGUAAUCCCCUGACUUCAAUGUGGUCACAUUGAAGUCAAGGGAUUACUUUGGGGGAAAAUCACACUCCAAUA